ACAAGGUAAAGGAAAGAAGCGCUAAAGCGCUUAAAGAAGAAUCAAGAAACCCAGGCGGCAAACUCAAAAUAAAACGCGGGCAAAUCCGUCUCUCUCUCUAAAUCAACUUGAAUCCGUUUUUUCGAUUAAGGCUUUAACCGCGAAAUUGAAAUUUGAUCAGUUUUUGAGCUGAUCCAUCACGCCAAUCAAUGAGAGGAAGGUUCGCCUAAGAGAGAGAGAGAGAGGUUAGGGAGAAAUCCGCGCGACUGUUCGUACAAUGAGAAGUUUUUUUGCACUCUAAUCCGAGAAUAGUGAGUUAGCUCUACUUCAAUUUGUCUUUUUACAUAGUUUCAUCACUCUAUGUCUUGCUUAUUGAUUGGAUUUUAUGUUCAUACAUUUUUGUUUAUUUGUUUUUUUCUUUCAUGUUUUACACUUUUAGGAUCAAAUGUAUCUGCAGACUUAAUCUGUUCGCGAAAUUAAUCGCCCAGAUAUAUUGAGCUGGAUUUUCAAAUCUUAAGGGUAAAAUCGUAUUCUAAUGAAUAUAUUAAGCUGAAUUUGGACGGAAGGAUUUGGAUUGGAAGUGAGGAUUUGAAAUAAUCUUACAUUUGAUGAAUCUAGUAUCUAUUGCAUUAACUUGAAAGUUGCUCAAGGAUUUGAAAUCCAUUAUCAUAUGAAAAUAUCAAACUAGUUCACUUAGCAGGAUAUUCAAUCCAAACAAUUUCAGUGACUAUUACAUAAGCUGGAAUCUGCAGCGUCAUGAUCCAUAACCUGACUAUUACAAGUGCAUUUCUGAACAUGUAUCAAUAUAUCUCAAAGCAGAGAUGGGCAUGAUCUUCUCUCUCAGUUUCUCUGUAGUUUCAAUCUUAAAUGGACAUCAAGCUUGAUAUAUGUUGCCAAUUUAUAAGUUAACACAUUCGCGCGCACACACAUUUUUCUGUAUGGUGGUUGGUGGAUGAAUGUGAUGUUAUAAUAGUGCAAAGUAUUUGGUCAAUGGCUUUUGCAGAUUGCAGUGUGUAUUGUUAAUUGUUAUAGCCUACUUUGUUUGAGUAUGAAGUUGCUAUUCAUUAUGGUGAUUAUGUGGUAACAUAUUCCUGGUCUCUGUCUUUGAAAUACUAAAAACAAAAAGUUACGUUGUCUACAUUUGGAUUAGUAUAUAGUUAUUAGAUGUUUGAAUUAGAGAUUUAUCUUGAAAUUGAAAAGGCCUUGUUGGACUAUCUGAUAUCCAUGUUUGUAAUGAUGUUGAUGAAUCUUGUAGUGCCUAAGAGGAUUCAAUAUUAUAACAUCACUGUGUAAAGUAUGUUACUAUGUUUUAUUGCUUGCUAUAUGCUCGGCAAAAGCAUUGUGUGUUCAGUAAUCUGUGAUCAAAUUGUACAUAUUACAUAACAUGCACCGCAACUGAUACUUCCAUUGUUCCAUUAGUCUUUCCCCAAAGUACUCUAAAAAUGUAUACAUGUAAUACAACUAUAAAAUAUUCAAAUUUUACAUUUGCUUAUUUAUUGUUUCCUGUCAAAUACUUUUACCCUUGAAAAAAUGGCUCAAUAAUGAGCAUAAAUAAAAAAAGAUGAAACAGAUACAUGUUUGCAAACUACUAUGAUUACAUGCAAUUUCUGUCUAUGAAGUUAUCAUAUUCUAUUCUAUUAAUCUCUCAUUGCUGCUUACAUACUGGUAAGUGAUCAGGUUACUGGCCGGAACAAGAAUUUGAAAGAAUUUGUCAGGUAUGUGUUGCUAUCCUACUUCAGCAGUUCUUUUGUCAUCCUGGAGUGGGGGCAUAGUGGCUCAUAACUUGAGAUGGCAACUUUCUUGUUGCAUUACCUUGUGUUUUCACUAUUUUUCUUUGGUAUCUUGCUUGCAGGGAGAUGCAACCUGGCCUUUAGAGGUCGUGGUGCUCGAGUUUUUUGGUCAAAUCCUCUGACACAUACGAAUCCUGCAAUGCAUUUAUUGUUUUAUGAGUAUAAAUGCAGUGGGGGUAAUAGGAUCAAUAUAAGGGGCUUGAUCUGUUUA
rnacentral:lncRNA from 1 species